rnacentral:rRNA from 1 species
GACGAACGCUGGCGGCGUGCCUAAUACAUGCAAGUCGAACGGUCUUUUCUAUGGAAGCUUGCUUCCACUGAGAAGAUAGUGGCGAACGGGUGAGUAACACGUGGGUAACCUGCCCAUAAGAGGGGGAUAACAUCCGGAAACGGGUGCUAAUACUGCAUAGUUUUCUUGAUCGCAUGAUCGGGAAAGGAAAGACGGCCUUUGUGCUGUCGCUUAUGGAUGGACCCGCGGCGUAUUAGUUAGUUGGUGAGGUAACGGCUCACCAAGACGAUGAUACGUAGCCGACCUGAGAGGGUGAUCGGCCACAUUGGGACUGAGACACGGCCCAAACUCCUACGGGAGGCAGCAGUAGGGAAUCUUCCGCAAUGGACGAAAGUCUGACGGAGCAACGCCGCGUGAGUGAAGAAGGUUUUCGGAUCGUAAAACUCUGUUGUCAGAGAAGAACAAGUUGGAGAGUAACUGCUCCAGCCUUGACGGUAUCUGACCAGAAAGCCACGGCUAACUACGUGCCAGCCGCCGCGGUAACAC